GAGCGAUGAGGAUAACAGCGCAACGUGUGUGAUGCCGGGGGGCAUCACAACCGUCUGAUUAUAUCUGACGAAACCAGCGCUCCUGAGCUC